rnacentral:rRNA from 1 species
UACGUAGGGUGCAAGCGUUGUCCGGAAUUAUUGGGCGUAAAGAGCUCGUAGGCGGUCUGUCGCGUCGGCUGUGAAAUCCCGAGGCUCAACCUCGGGUCUGCAGUCGAUACGGGCAAACUGGAGUGUUGCAGGGGAGACUGGAAUUCCUGGUGUAGCGGUGAAAUGCGCAGAUAUAGGAGGAACAUCGAUGGCGAAGGCAGGUCUCUGGGCCACUACUGACGCUGGAGAAGCGAAAAGCAUGGGGGAGCGAAACAGGG